rnacentral:rRNA from 1 species
CAAGUCGAACGCGAAAGCCUCCUUCGGGGGGCAAGUAGAGUGGCGCACGGGUGAGUAACACGUAGGUAAUCUACCUUUGGAUUGGGAAUAACCACCGGAAACGGUGGCUAAUACCGAAUAAUGCAGCGGCACCUAAUGGUGACAGUUGUUAAAGCGGGGGAUCGAAAGACCUCGCGUCUGAAGAGGAGCCUGCGGCAGAUUAGCUAGUUGGUAAGGUAACGGCUUACCAAGGCGAUGAUCUGUAGCCGGCCUGAGAGGGCGGUCGGCCACACUGACACUGACAUACGGGUCAGACUCCUACGGGAGGCAGCAGUCGGGAAUUUUGGGCAAUGGGCGAAAGCCUGACCCAGCAACGCCGCGUGAAGGAUGAAAUCCUUCGGGAUGUAAACUUCGCAAGAACGGGAAGAAUAAGUAAGAGUUAAUAUCUCUUACGAUGACGGUACUGUUUGUAAGCUCCGGCUAACUCCGUGCCAGCAGCCGCGGUAAUACGGGGGGAGCAAGCGUUGUUCGGAUUUACUGGGCGUAAAGGGCGCGUAGGCGGCACCGCAAGUCGACUGUGAAAUCUCCGGGCUUAACCCGGAAAGGUCAGCCGAUACUGCGGGGCUAGAGUGCAGAAGGGGCAACUGGAAUUCUCGGUGUAGCGGUGAAAUGCGUAGAUAUCGAGAGGAACACCUGCGGCGAAGGCGGGUUGCUGGGCUGACACUGACGCUGAUGCGCGAAAGCUAGGGGAGCGAACGGGAUUAGAUACCCCGGUAGUCCUAGCCUUAAACGAUGAAUGCUUGGUGUCUGGGGUUUUAUAGUCCCCGGGGUGCCGUCGCUAACGCUUUAAGCAUUCCGCCUGGGGAGUACGGUC